rnacentral:rRNA from 1 species
GUCUACAGCCAUGCCACCCUGAACGUGCCCAAUCUCGUCUGAUCUCGGAAGCUAAGCAGGGUUGGGUCUGGUUGCAUAACAGGACUGCCUCUCUCAGCAUCCCUUGCAUUAUGCA